GACGAACGCUGGCGGCGUGCUUAACACAUGCAAGUCGAACGGAAAGGCCCUGCUUUUGUUGGGUGCUCGAGUGGCGAACGGGUGAGUAACACGUGAGUAACCUGCCCUUGACUUUGGGAUAACUUCAGGAAACUGGGGCUAAUACCGGAUAGGAGCUCCUGCUGCAUGGUGGGGGUUGGAAAGUUUCGGCGGUUGGGGAUGGACUCGCGGCUUAUCCGCUUGUUGGUGGGGUAGUGGCUUACCAAGGCUUUGACGGGUAGCCGGCCUGAGAGGGUGACCGGCCACAUUGGGACUGAGAUACGGCCCAGACUCCUACGGGAGGCAGCAGUGGGGAAUAUUGCACAAUGGGCGGAAGCCUGAUGCAGCAACGCCGCGUGCGGGAUGACGGCCUUCGGGUUGUAAACCGCUUUCGCCUGUGACGAAGCGUGAGUGACGGUAAUGGGUAAAGAAGCACCGGCUAACUACGUG
rnacentral:rRNA from 1 species